GAUGAACGCUGGCGGCGUGCCUAACACAUGCCAGUCGAGCGAACAGAUAAGGAGCUUGCUCCUUUGACGUUAGCGGCGGACGGGUGAGUAACACGUGGGUAACCUACCUAUAAGACUGGGAUAACUUCGGGAAACCGGAGCUAAUACCGGAUAAUAUUUCGAACCGCAUGGUUCGAUAGUGAAAGAUGGUUUUGCUAUCACUUAUAGAUGGACCCGCGCCGUAUUAGCUAGUUGGUAAGGUAACGGCUUACCAAGGCGACGAUACGUAGCCGACCUGAGAGGGGGAUCGGCCACACUAGAAGUGAGACACGGUCCAUACGCCUGCGGGAGGCAGCAGUAGGGAAUGUUCCGCAGUAGGCGAAAGCCUGACGGAGCAACGCGGCGUGAGUGAUGAAGGUCUUCGGAGCGUAAAGCUCUGUUAUUGGGGAAGAACAUACGUGUAAGUAGCUGUACACUUCUUGACGGUACCUAGUCAGGAAGCCACGGCUAACUACGUG
rnacentral:rRNA from 1 species